UCUGACUGAUCCACUCUUCCAGGUGGACCCUCUCUCCUCAGGUGGUGCAGGUCCCAUUGCGCCACCUCCAGACAGGCAUGCUAGCCCCCAGAGCUGCCCUUCCCUGCUACCCAGCCCCCACCCCCAAGUAUGUGCCACCUCCCUAAAGCCCGCUGUGUUCACCAGCUGUGUUUGAACUCUGUCUCUGUGCAAGGCCUCAUAAAAGCCUGAAACAGCCUGCCUUGUAGUGGGCCGGGAGACCAAAACUUGAAGACAGAGUAACAGAGUGAAGACAGAGAGACCACCUAGUCAGCCUCAGCCCCAGGGCUGUGUCUAUGCUGGUCCUGGCUCCAGUGAGCCAGUUGUCUUCUGAGACGCCUGUAAGGGCUCCUGUGGUGAUGGAGGUGGCUGGAGAGAACAGGCUGCCAUAACCCUCCCUCCCUGAGAAGGCCCACUGGGGAACGUUUUAGGCAUCAGGGCAUCCCGGGGAGCAUCUUCCAGGGACCCCUCCUACACCCUGCCCCGCCCUGGCUCUCUAGUGAGAAAUUGCAGUUGCUUGGACAGCGGGGCUGACCCAGGACAAGUGCAUCUAUUAGGCUGGUCUUCGGGGUACUGGGGUGGGGGCAGGGGAGCUUCAGGUAUAGGAAGGAGAGACCUGUGUGUUCCAGAAGUACAGAGGAACCUGGUGCCGGCCGCAGUCAACCCUGAUGUGAUGAUCUGUCCACCAACCCUCUUUGAUGUCUUGGUGCUGGCUGCUGUCUUUGGCCAGCUAAAAGAAUAUCAGCAGAGGAGCAGCCCUGGUGUUCCCACAGGAGUGAAGACGAAAAAGAAAAAUACUGGCCGUAGCCCUGAGACAACCACUUCUUGUGGUUGCCACUCA
rnacentral:lncRNA from 10 species